UUGGAGGGCAGUCUGGUGCCAGCAGCCGCGGUAAUUCCAGCUCCAAUAGCGUAUAUUAAAGUUGUUGCAGUUAAAAAGCUCGUAGUUGAAUUUCGGGGUUCUUCCGUUGGUCAGGCUAACAAGUCUGUACUAGCGUGUAGAAUCUCUACCUUCUGGGGAACCAUCAUGUUAUUAAUUUAGCGUGGUGGGAAACCAGGACCUUUACCUUGAAAAAAUUAGAGUGUUCAAAGCAGGCUUACGUCUGAAUACAUUAGCAUGGAAUAAUAAAAUAGGACGGUGGU
rnacentral:rRNA from 1 species